UCACACAACAGUUAUUACUUCUCUGUUGUGCAAUUACUCUUAAUACAAUGGUUGAAAAAUAUGUCGUCUGUUGUUUUGAUUCACACAACAGUUUUUCAGUUGUCUAUUGUGUGACUUUAUUUCAGACAAUGUAUUGAAAUUGAUGUUGUCUGAGUUUUAGGGUUCAAUAGUUUGCUCAGCCCGCCUAAUUUUUUGUUCGAAAGUUAAAUUUCCCACUUUUUCUUCCCACACAUAUUCGCACUGCAAUUUUGCUCGCCCGCCUCUAUUUUUCAGUUGACCUCUCUCUCUCGUUGUGCAUCUCUUCCCUCUUUUUGAAGUUUGCUAUGAAAACCCACGAGAUUGAGCUGAGAAAAGAAAACAAAGAAACAAAAAAAACUCUCCCAAAACCUGUCUCUCUCGUCCUCCUUCUCAAUCCAUCAUAGCAAACAUCGAAAUUCCCCUACCCGUGUAAUCGUCGGAUCUUCCACCUUCGAAUUUCCGAUGGCGUUUCCCUACACAAACCUCACGCUCUCUCUCUCUCUACCCUCUCCCUCGCCCUCUUCGACUUCUCUCCUGUCGACAACGUCUUCGACUACGGCUCCAACGUGGACUCCACCUUCGACGAUGGCGGCCACUUCAUUCUGGACUCGUCCAUUUCAGAUCGCUCAAUUUCACUCUGAAACCAAAACCCCAAUCCCGAUUCCCCCCAAAUUUACCAAACCGCUAGGGUUUUCCAGCGGUCAUCCAGUAUGAGUUCCAGAUCCGCGAGCCAGGGACCCACAUGCUGGAGGCUACAUCACCGCCUUGAGCUUGCUGGAUUUCAAUACCUUGGUAGACCAGUGAGUCCAGUGAGUUGACUCCCCUUCUCCCUCCUCCUCCAGUCCUCCCUUCCCAACCAAAAAGGUCCUAGUUUCAAUACUAAAUAAAUAGUUCGUUCUUAUUAUGUGUUCUGGAUUUUAAGUAAGUGUUGUGACAGGCAUCUUCUAUAAAUGAAUCCUUUAACCUACCUAUAAAUGAAUAUCCUUAAACCCAGGCAUCUUCUUAAUUUCUGACAGUUUUAUGUGACGUCUAUGGUGAUGGUAGGUUGGAGCUAAAUCACGUAAUAUUUCUUAUAUAAAAGGAAAACUACCCUCUUGGGUUGGAAUUCCUACAUCAGUUGCCCUACCAUUUGGAGUAUUUGAAAAUUUUCUUUCUGAACAUUUAAAUAAGGUUGUCACCUCUAAACUUCGAUAAUCAUAUUCUGCACAUAUAUUACUCAUGCAGCUGUCAUUUCUACUAGUACCUUAACCAGAACAGUCUGAAGUUAUAUUAAUUUGUUUGGCUUUGUGUUUUUGGAAGUUAACCUGUCGUUUUCUAUACUAAUAUCUUAACCUGUCAUUUUAACUAGGAGAUGCAUAGAAAUUUAACUUCAGUAGUAAUUUAAUUGCUCCUUAACGUCACAGAGCCUGGUGCCAAGUGAGAAAAACUAAAAAUGCCUUACUCAAGUGCUUAUCUUUGUUGUACAUUUUCAUGCCCUUUCAAUACUUUUGUUAAGUAUCUCGCAUCUAAGUAUUUACAUCGAUGAGUGGGACCUCUUGAGGUUCAUGAUCGAGGAAGAAGUGGAGCUUGUGUGGCCACUAAUUGACAUAAAAAAGACUGGACAAGUCGAAAGGAAAACUCUAACAAAGUGGGUGGUAAGACAUUUAUCUUAUUAUGUCUCUUGACUUCCAGAAGUUGUAGUUCUUAUUUUUCUUAUGGAGGACUUUUGUUUUGUUUCUGUAGCAUGUAAUUUAUACAUUGAUCACAUCUUUCAAUCUAAAAGCAAAUAUAGCAGGGCAGUUAUUCAUGAAGGAAUUCCUUGUUAUGUAUGCACAUGGAGAAAUACUUAAAUUUGUACUUGAUGGAAUUUUGUUUGAUAAACCUAUCACAAUAACUGCAAGAAUAAAAAGUGAAGAAAGAAAUGAAAGAAGGAUUCCAAAACAUCCUGGUUAUUAUCACCACUAUAGUGUGGCUUCUGUUGGUGGAAAUUGCAACUACAAAAGUACUUGUCUUCCUCUCAUCACAGCUCGUAGUGGCAGCUAGUAGCUAGUUAUCAUGGUUCUAUGACUUCUAUAUAUUAUCUUGUGCUUUUUCCAAAGAAAGACAAGUCUAUUGUUUUGUUCUUAUGAACAAUGAAAUACUUUCUCUACAGUAUAAGCAGCUUGUCUAUUUUAUUCUCUUCUUUAGUUUAGUAAGUAUAGAAGAUAUUGGCACACUGGAAAGAUAUCAAUUUUACGAAACUGCAUGCCCUCCUUAAUUAAUUAGAACAUGAUGCAUAAAGUUCCUUAUUUUAGAAAAGAGAUUGCAUGAUGCAUACGAGAAACUCUAAAAGACAGGUAUCCCACUAGCAUCAAAGCAAGUGAAUUAUAGUCUCAUAUACAAGGCACCAGAGGAGAAUGGAGAUAAGGCUACAUGUGACGAACUUGGGAUCACUUCGAUUGCCUAUUCACCUAUUGCUCAAGAUUAUGCACGUUGUGUUGCUAUUGUAGCAUCUGCAUCUUUGAGGGAGAUGAUAAAACCUGGUGCCUUGGCUAUUAUUUCACCUAUAGCAGUUGGUAUUGCGUUCUGAAUAUUUGGAUACUAUCCGGAGGCAAAGGAAGUGAUUGUCAUAAGGGUGCAAUUACAGGAGACAUAGUGGGAGACCCAUUCAAAGACACAGCUGGACCUUCACUUCAUGUCCUUAUUAAAAUGCUUGCUACAAAAAUGGUGCUCAUGGCUCCUGUCUUUCUCUGAGUAGUUUAUAACAAUUCCGGGAUGGAAUGACUUUGUUGAAUAUAUGGAUGAAUGUAUCAGAUCUUUACAUAAAUGAAUCUCUUUUGAAUGUGUUCUCAUUUGGAUUCCAUAUAUGCAAAAUGUAGGCCAUUUGAAU